rfam:Smithella sp. SCADC Smithella_SCADC_Contig_218, whole genome shotgun sequence.
CCACCGGAUAGCAAGUUCUUGGAGGCAUGAUGGCAACACCAUGUUUUAUGCGUAGGAUAGCGAGCAGACAGGCCGUAAGCCGAUAGGUUGAAGGGAACGAGCCACGUAAGCAUCUAAGAGGGAAGGACGACACUUUUACGAGGGUGGAAGUCAACACAGGCAGAGCGAGAGAAAAAAAAGGCAAGCACCCGCCUGCUUCCCCGGGGUCUGAGACCA